GUCAGUGUGGCGCAAUAGUUUGAGCGCUGGACUAUGACUCUGGAGACCCGGGUUCAAAUCCUGACUCAGCCA
rnacentral:tRNA from 1 species